CCUCACCGUAAAUUUUCGUGCCUAAUUUUGAUCGUUCGUCUUAUUUAAAAUUUUUUUAUAAUUAAUAUUUUUAUUAUUAUGAGAUGAUAAAAUAUAAAUAGUACUUUACUCGUGACUUAUGUUUUUAUUUUUUAAAAAAAGGUUUUAAAUAAGACGGAUAGUUAAAGUUGGACGUGGAAAACUAUAACUGCAAUUAAA
rfam:Oryza glumipatula chromosome 4, whole genome shotgun sequence.